GGUGAAGACACCGUCAGGUUGCUGGGACAGAAAGAUCUAGAGACGUCAGCCACGGAAAAAGUAAUCUCCUACAAAGACGUCCAGUUAUGAUGGAGCAAGUUCUAUUGGGUUAUGGUUUUUUUUUGUAUCAACUAUAUCUGUGGACAUUUUAUGAAAACUAAAAGAAAAAACUCUCCUCCGUUGUGCAGGAAUGUCAGUUUACAAAUGCCUGGAUUUUGUAUUUGAAUUUUACAAGUUUUCUGCAUAAAUAACACAGAGUUCAGAAGCCACACUUCAAUACAUUAUGUAAUACAUGUAUAUCAUUCAAACAUUUUUGCUAGCCUGACCUACUGGGUACUUGUACUGUCAUAAAUCCAAAACUUACAGAAGCUGAUCAAAUUUUUCACCCUUUAAUUUACAAGUUUUUUUUACUUUAAGUUGUACACACUUAAACUUAAGUUUUAUAAAAAUGUAUAAUAAAAUAAGAUGUUAUAUCAAAACAAUAUUCUACAUGUAGAUUAUUAAAAGUAUUUUAUU
rnacentral:misc_RNA from 1 species